CUUCUCCUCUGCUUCCUACGGGGCUGCCCGCAGCUUUGGGGACUCCUUGCAUUCGCUGCAGACCUCUCCUUUCCCAGCAGUAAAUACUCAGCUGACAUUUGAAGGGAAGAAAAUGCUUCCUGGCGCUUUCUGGCUUUCCAUCUCCAGCGAUGACUCCCACAUUGGUUGGGAUCGGCGCAGCAGCGGCUCUGGGAUCUGCAGAGCAGAACUCCUCUGACUGGGACUGUGGUGUGGGGAGCGCUGCUGGUCUGACCUACGGCACAGAGCUUCGGCCAUCCGUCCGUCUGUCCGUCCAUCCGUCCGUCCCGUUAUUUUCUUUCCCUUUUUUACCUCGUCGGAGCGGCUCCGCUCAAACCCCGACCUCCGGCCGCGCAACGGAUCUCUGCUCCUUUGCAUCACAAAGCACUGCCGGGA
ensembl:lncRNA